rnacentral:tRNA from 1 species
GGAUAAGUGGUCGAGUGGUUUAAGGCGUUAGUUUUGAAAACUAAAGUAUUAAUAAAAUACCGUGGGUUCAAAUCCCACCUUUUCCU